UGGGGAAUCUUGCACAAUGGGGGAAACCCUGAUGCAGCGACGCCGCGUGAGCGAUGAAGGUUUUCGAAUCGUAAAGCUCUGUCCUAUGGGAAGAUAAUGACGGUACCAUGGGAGGAAGCCCCGGCUAACUACGUGCCAGCAGCCGCGGUAAUACGUAGGGGGCGAGCGUUGUCCGGAAUUACUGGGCGUAAAGGGUUCGCAGGCGGCAUGGCAAGUCCGAUGUAAAAGGCGAAGGCUCAACCUUCGUAAGCAUCGGAAACUGUCAAGCUUGAGUGAAGGAGAGGCAAGUGGAAUUCCUAGUGUAGCGGUGGAAUGCGUAGAUAUUAGGAGGAAUACCGGUGUCGAAGGCGACUUGCUGGACUUCAACUGACGCUGAGGAACGAAAGCGUGGGUAGCAAACAGG
rnacentral:rRNA from 1 species